CAAAGAAUAGUUUAAUUAAAAUAUUAGUUUUGGGGACUAGUGAUGAGAGGAUUCUCUUUUCUUUGA
rnacentral:tRNA from 1 species